AACAAGUGAUAGUAGAAUCUGAAAUCAGGGGGAGAGAGAGAGAGAGACAGAGAGACAGAAAACUGAUUUGUAUUGCCUGAUUUGUUACAAUGAAGAAGCUUCCCUUAUAUAGGAGCAUGUAGCUUGCAAAGCAAGCUUCUAAUCCUAACAGAUUCCUAACUGCCUAACAGAUUCACAACUGCAUGUGUCCAGCUGGCACUGCUCACAACUACACCUAACUCGAUAUUUUCUAUAUCAUAUACACUUAUAACAAGAAGAAAUAAUAGUUUCGAGUGCUACUGCGCUAAGCUGAGACUCUGAAUUAUGUACACAAACAUUUCUGACUCAUGUCUGUAUCCUUUACAGCUUUUUGAGCACUUGAAGAAGUUCCUUGGUACCAAGCAUGAACUAGAAGCAGGCUUUUCCUGGUCUCUUAUUCAUAGAACGGAUGGAGACUCAGAUGUGGGUAUUACGGGAAUAACCCAAAGGGUGGAAUGCAAUUCCAAGCUAGCUAUUGCACUGACUGUGAUGGACGAAUGCUUUUUACCUGUUAUUGAUCGAAGGAGUGGGAUCAAUUUAAUCCACAACGUUUUAUAUAAUAGUGGGUAAGCACAAAUUUGUACAUUAUGAAUGGACCAUAUAUUUGCUUCCUUUCAUUUAUUUAUGCACUUAUAACAAGAAGAAAUAAUAGUUUCGAGUGCUACUGCGCUAAGCUGAGACUCUGAAUUAUGUACACAAACAUUUCUGACUCAUGUCUGUAUCCUUUACAGCUUUUUGAGCACUUGAAGAAGUUCCUUGGUACCAAGCAUGAACUAGAAGCAGGCUUUUCCUGGUCUCUUAUUCAUAGAACGGAUGGAGACUCAGAUGUGGGUAUUACGGGAAUAACCCAAAGGGUGGAAUGCAAUUCCAAGCUAGCUAUUGCACUGACUGUGAUGGACGAAUGCUUUUUACCUGUUAUUGAUCGAAGGAGUGGGAUCAAUUUAAUCCACAACGUUUUAUAUAAUAGUGGGUAAGCACAAAUUUGUACAUUAUGAAUGGACCAUAUAUUUGCUUCCUUUCAUUUAUUU
rnacentral:lncRNA from 1 species